GACAGCAGCCGCCACGGUAAGACAGAGGAUGCAAGCGUUAAUCGGAAUUACUGGGCGUAAAGCGCACGCAGGCGGUCUGACAAGUCAGAUGUGAAAUCCCCGGGCUUAACCUGGGAACUGCAUUUGAAACUGUCAGGCUGGAGUCUUGUAGAGGGGGGUAGAAUUCCAGGUGUAGCGGUGAAAUGCGUAGAGAUCUGGAGGAAUACCGGUGGCGAAGGCGGCCCCCUGGACAAAGACUGACGCUCAGGUGCGAAAGCGUGGGGAGCAAACAGGAUUAGAUACCCGAGUAGUCCCUGUCUCUUAUAC
rnacentral:rRNA from 1 species